AUUCUGCUGACAGGAGGGAAAAUAUCUACCUAUCAAAUGAUAGAGAAUGCAGUAAAAGUUGAAGCAGAGCAUCUAUACCAAAACAGACUUUGUGCUGUGCAGUCUUUCAUAGCUCUCGAUGCUGUGUCCAGUUAAAAAGUAUCACAGGAGGAAACUCACAAAUACGUAGGAAUGGAGUUGCAUUGUGUUCCCGUUUUUAACUGCUGAAGAGACCAGGACAGGAGGGAGUACCAUAGAGUUCUUUCUUCCCACCAGCUGGACACAGAUCACAUUUUUCUGCUUUGUAUGUAGUGUACAUUGGGGGAAAAUGCAAGAUGAUUUUUUUCAGAAACUGCUGCAGCCCUAGCAAACAGAACUACUUCAGUGCCCUGCAGCAUGAGUGUUGGACAAGUUAUUCUAACAAACAUAACUUCAGAGAAAAGGCAUUCGGAGCUUUUGGAUGCCGAACUAGUGGACAGCAGCAUAUACAUGUCUUAAACAGGAUGAGCUGCACCAGCACUUUCUAAAGCUUUCCUCUGCAUUUGAAAUACACAAGAUGCCCAGCAUAUAUACAUCCACAAAUAUCUGACUUUGUUACGUGACCUUCCUUGUUCCUUUAAGAAGUACAAGAAAUAUGAACAGGACAGCCUGUCCUGCAGCUUGAUAUUUGGCCAUAUUUACUGGAUUAUACAUUCUCUCUGUUUUAACCUUCUGAAUAUGCAGUUUCUGCCAGAUAACCAAUUCCCUCUUGCCCAGGAGAACUGACUGUUAUAGUCACCGCAGUGAUAUUUUUACUAAAAAUAGUGUUACACCAGCCUAUCCUAGGAUAACUAGAUGACUUUUGAGUAAUUAUUUGGAAAUAAUUUAGAAUGAAGAGUUUCUGAUUGUUUCUAAAGUGUUUUUGAAACAUAGUAUUUAGGUCUUUCAGGACAGACACUCAAAAAUAGGUAACAGACUUACAUUUAAGUUUGUGAAUGUAAGCGAAAGCUUCUUAUGAAUCAGUAUUACUAAAUUCUAUGCAUACUGAUAAAUUGAUCUUUAAGAUAAAUAUGUAAUUCUCAUGCUUCAGUAAACAAGCAAAGAAAAUUUAAUCUAUGGAAGGUAUGAUUCUAAAGUUGAACAUGUAAGUUUGGGAAGAAUGUCAAUUAACCAUUUAGACCUAAAAUACUCUUGGGGCAUUUAUUUGCAUAAUUUUGUUUCUUUAAUUAAAAAACAAAUAUCUCAAA